AGUGCGGUCCUCACGGCAGAGAGCGCGGGUGGAGGUGGGUGUCGGCCUUCUCCCUGGGGCCCUCCAGGCCCUCCGGCCUCGAGGCUGGAAGGUGAGCCGGGGGGCCCAGGGACAGACCAAGGGCCGUGUCCUGCAGAGCUCCAGAGCCUUCGCCACGGCUGCCCACUGGCCGGACCCAGGACGUGAAGUCCGAGGCCUAAUGGCGGCAGCGGUCUCCAUGGGUCGCGGUCCGCGGAGGCCUCGGCAGCGGGAGUGUAUGGACACUGACAUUAAGCUUUUAGGGGAGCUGAACUCCUUGACUUGUGGCCCCUUCCUCCAUCUUCAAAGCUAGCAACAGUGGACGCAAAUCCUUUUCACGACACAGUAUGAACAUCUACAUCUCUCUUCCAUUUUUAAGGACCCCUGUGAUGACAUUGCACCCACCUGCAUAAUCAGGAUAAUCUCGCUGUUUUAAGUAGGCCAUGGUAAGGACUUUGGCUUUUACUCUGAGAGUGAUGGGGAGUCGUGGAGGGUUCUGAGCAGAGAAGAGAUUUGGUUUCAUUUCGCAGCAUAAUUCUGGCUACUGGAUGGAAAAUCAACUUGGGAGGAGGGAGGUUACAGAGGAGGCCAUAGAUGUUCAUCAAAGGAGUCUGUUGUGAAUAAGCAAAUUGCUUUAGGAUGGGCUUACUUCCCUCUGAUAAAGUCACUAGUAGGAAACAAGUAAAACACUGAACCUGUACCAGAGAUCACACAGAGUAAAUGCUGAUAGAAACAUGGAU